rnacentral:tRNA from 1 species
CCUGGUGGCUCAGAGGGUAAAGCGUCUGCCUGCAAUGUAGGAGACCUGGGUUCAGUCCCUAGGCCAGGA